UACGAAGGGGGCUAGCGUUGUUCGGAUUUACUGGGCGUAAAGCGCACGUAGGCGGAUUGUUAAGUCAGGGGUGAAAUCCCGGAGCUCAACUCCGGAACUGCCUUUGAUACUGGCAAUCUUGAGACUGGAAGAGGUUAGUGGAAUUCCCAGUGUAGAGGUGAAAUUCGUAGGUAUUGGGAAGAACACCAGUGGCGAAGGCGGCUAACUGGUCCAGUACUGACGCUGAGGUGCGAAAGCGUGGGGAGCAAACAGG
rnacentral:rRNA from 1 species